UCGUUGUAAAUUCGGUAUAUCGCGUUAUAUUUUAUUGAAUUUAGUGUUAAUUGUCAUGUUUGGUCAUUCGGUAAAUAUUUAUCGCGUAUGUAAUCUUCGGAAUUCAAUAUUUUGUGUGUUUAUUACAUUUUCGCGUGGAUUUCUGAUCGGUUGUCGUCGGACGCCGGCCGGCAGACUUUGUGUGUGAUAAUAAAUAAUGUCUUGGACUUGAGCGGACCAUUUUUGACUUCUGCACAACUCGUUGGCUCAAUGUGUUACCUGGUACGAAUACUAAUUUAAAUAAUUAUGGAGAACAAGACGAAAUUUAUGGUAAACUUUGGGUUCCGCCGGAACUCAUUGUCCGAAAUUGUGUGUAUCUUCAGUAUCUUCUCACAAUGGAUUUGCGGUGUUCCAUACACUGUUACAGUACAUGCCGUACCCUUGCAAUCCGAUGAGCGCUGCAUUGAAGAAUCACCCUCCGCCAAUUUUUGACGCGAUCAGACCACUAAAUGACUCACAAAGUCACCGUUAGGGGUGGAGCCACGGACUCCCCUCGCCAGGACGAACUACUGGGGUGCCAGCCAACACUACGGACUCCCCUCGCCAAGACGAACUACUGGUGUGCCAGCCAACACUACGGACUCCCCUCGCGAGGAUGAACGAUUGGGGUACCAACUAACAUUUUUCACGAACUCAUCUCAUUCCGUUUUGUGCCAGCAUCACACGAACACUACAUCGGUACAGUAUUCCAUUUUACCCAAAAUUACUGCUACAAGGUACGACGAACUACAUCGAUACAGUAUUUCAGUUCACCCAAAACUACUGCUCAAGGUAUGAGUAAACACAUUACAUUACGAACUCCACUUGAUACUAACAGCCAUCAUGCGACUCAUACCUAACCUCAAUCGACCAAGGCUACGCUCAUUAACGCUGUGUACAUUUCUCUUUCUUUUUGCGAGUGCUUAACCGUCCGGUCAGGUUUUCGUUCAGACCCUCGUUCUGAACCGCCCCCGGGUUAAGCCGAUAAUAUUCUUGGUACGUUCAGCCCAUCGUGCUGAACCGCACCUGGUUUUAAACCAACUACUUGUGAUCAAUGAGAUAAUUAACAGAUACCGCCACUAUUCCAUAUACAUAGCAUAUAACCAGUAAUCUACAAUGUUUAUUUCGCUUACAAGGUACAUAUAUUUUGAACGAGCAGACGAGAGGCCAUUUAUACGAAGGAGACGAGACCCGUCAACGCAUUCACUUCAGCAGCCUCAUUUACCUAUACACCGGGACCAGAUAACACAGAUACCGCAAUCUCUCCAUUACAUUUUUUGAUACCUACACACUUGCACUGUAAAUUAAAUUCAUAGCAACUUUCUAAAUUUUAUACAACAAUCUACAAUCAGAUUUUCAUUUUAAGGGGCACACCUAGUGUGAAAUUUUCAAAAAAUCGAAUUUUUUUUUGCCAAUUUUCGAUAGAUUAUAUCUUUAAAAAUAACAUACUAAAAUUUUAAAUCGAUAUCUGUAAUAGUUUUUGUGUAAGCUUAUCUUAUAGGGAAUUUUGCGUAUAUUAUGAAUUUGAAAUCCGUUUUUGUCGUUGCACCGACCAGUGCCGUUGGGCAUCGUACGAGGCUUGCGGUAGAAGUGACUCGUGUUCAGGGCACCGUACUAAGGUAGCAGUAGAAGUGACUCGAGUUCAGGGCACCCUACGAAAAUAGCGGUAGAACUGACUCGUGUUCAGGGCACAGUACGAAGGUAGCGGUAGAAGUGACUCGUGUUCAGGGCACCCUUCGAAGGUAGCGGUAGAAGUGACUCGUGUUCAGGGCACCCUUUGAAGGUAGCGGUAGAAGUGACUCAUGUUCAGGGCACCGUACGAAGGUAACAGUAGAAGUGGUGACUUUUUCACCCUUUUCUCGUGAACUGUUUGUAUUUUUUCGGGUUUGCGCGCGAUCUAGGUGGCGUAUUAACUUCAGCGCGGCGCCUAGAGAUGCGGAAUUAAAUUCUCCGUCGGGUAGUAUAUGUUUGUUGCUGGAAUUCGACCUGCAACCCCGAAAAUUUGCAUAAAAGGGUGACUUAAGGCUUUCUUUUUGCACUCAAAUUGUUUUGUAACACUCUGUUUAUUAGAUUCCCACAGCAAUGGGUGAAAACGAGCAAUAUUUGUAGUGUUUAGAUGUUUUCCUAUUUGAUUGUUGAAUUUUCUAAUUGUGACACCUUGUAUGAUCGUUUUUCUUCAGAUCCCUAAAAAUUUGCUUCGUCUGUUAUUAGAAUUUAACUUUUAGCUCUUUGAAUUUUCUUUUUGUAACGGCCUGUAUAUUUGUUUCCUAGAUUAACUGUGAAAAUCGAGCGAUUUUUGAGUGUUUAGAUGUUUUCCUGUCUGCACUUAAAAAUUUUCUUUUGUAACACCUUGAAUAUUUGUUUUCAUUUUCCAUCACCUAGAAAAUGUGCAAUUUGCUAAUUUCUUUAUCCCGCUAGAACAUUUUGACGUGUUACUUGCUUGUAUUUGCGCGACGAUGCAGGUCGGUAGUUCUGUGUCAAUAUGGCGGCAUGUAUUUUCUUGACUUGUGAAAUCUAAACUUGUAUUCUAUUGUUAAUAAAUAAAUAGUAAGAUA